rnacentral:misc_RNA from 1 species
GGAAAGCAAGGUCUUUUAGAUUUAGUUGUUCAUGAUAUAGUACAACUUGAAAACAAUAUGAAACUAAAAAAGACGACAAAAUUCUGACCUAAAAUUGAAAUAAUAAAGUACCUUUGUACCAAACUUCCUAAUACGAAGGACUUCCAGACCUUUAUAUAGAAGUAUAAUUGGCAAUCACUAAUUCAGUAACUUAAAACCUGAUAUCAUUGAUUACUGAAUGUGCCUUGAGACCUAGACAUGAGCAGUGCCUUCGGUGAACUUGGGAUCUUCACAUCUGUACCUUCCAUCAGGCCCAAUGCCAAAGCCCUUUGGAUCAGCAAACACGUUCUCGAGCAGCUGGCUACGAACAGGAUGAGGGCUUUCAUCGGCAAACUCAACAGCUUCUUCAACCAGUUCAUCAAUCUUCUUAUCAAUGGCCUUCAACUCUGCUUCACUUGCCAGGUUGUUCUCAAACAUGUACUUCUUCAAGGCACUGAUAGGAUCUCGUGCAGCAUAAUGGUUCUUUUCAGCAGGGUCACGAAGCUC